ACUAUUGUAUGUCUUUUUCAUUAGUCAAGCUGUUCAGCUGACCUUAGGUGCUUCAUGUUUGCCUAGGUGGAAAACGCCUUGUUCCAGUUGGCCUCGGAGACGAUGAUCAAUGCAUUGAGGAUGACUUCAAUGCAUGGAAAGAAGCUCUCUGGCCAGAGUUGGAUCGUUUACUUCGUGAUGAAAAUGAUGUCUCCACAGGCACUACUUACAUAGCUGCUAUUCCUGAAUACCGGGUUGAAUUCAUCAAGCCUGAGCAGGCAGUUCAUUUGGAGA